UCGAGCCGUGUGCGGUGAAAGUUGCAUGCACGGUUCCUAGGGGGCCGCGUUUCCGAGAGGAGCGUGGCUACCCAAU
rnacentral:ncRNA from 1 species